UAUGUAGGGCGCAAGCGUUAUCCGGAAUUAUUGGGCGUAAAGAGCUCGUAGGCGGUUUGUCGCGUCUGCCGUGAAAGUCCGGGGCUCAACUCCGGAUCUGCGGUGGGUACGGGCAGACUAGAGUGAUGUAGGGGAGACUGGAAUUCCUGGUGUAGCGGUGAAAUGCACAGAUAUCAGGAGGAACACCGAUGGCGAAGGCAGGUCUCUGGGCAUUAACUGACGCUGAGGAGCGAAAGCAUGGGGAGCGAACAGG
rnacentral:rRNA from 1 species